rnacentral:rRNA from 1 species
UACGUAGGGCGCAAGCGUUAUCCGGAAUUAUUGGGCGUAAAGAGCUCGUAGGCGGUUUGUCGCGUCUGCCGUGAAAGUCCGGGGCUCAACUCCGGAUCUGCGGUGGGUACGGGCAGACUAGAGUGAUGUAGGGGAGACUGGAAUUCCUGGUGUAGCGGUGAAAUGCGCAGAUAUCAGGAGGAACACCGGUGGCGAAGGCGGUUCUCUGGGCCUUACCUGACACUGAGGAGCGAAAGCGUGGGGAGCGAACGGG